GCCUAGGAAUCUGCCUGGUAGUGGGGGAUAACGUUCGGAAACGGACGCUAAUACCGCAUACGUCCUACGGGAGAAAGCAGGGGACCUUCGGGCCUUGCGCUAUCAGAUGAGCCUAGGUCGGAUUAGCUAGUUGGUGGGGUAAUGGCUCACCAAGGCGACGAUCCGUAACUGGUCUGAGAGGGUGAUCAGUCACACUGGAACUGAGACACGGUCCAGACUCCUACGGGAGGCAGCAGUGGGGAAUAUUGGACAAUGGGCGAAAGCCUGAUCCAGCCAUGCCGCGUGUGUGAAGAAGGUCUUCGGAUUGUAAAGCACUUUAAGUUGGGAGGAAGGGUUGUAGAUUAAUACUCUGCAAUUUUGACGUUACCGACAGAAUAAGCACCGGCUAACUCUGUGCCAGCAGCCGCGGUAAUACAGAGGGUGCAAGCGUUAAUCGGAAUUACUGGGCGUAAAGCGCGCGUAGGUGGUUUGUUAAGUUGGAUGUGAAAUCCCCGGGCUCAACCUGGGAACUGCAUUCAAAACUGACUGACUAGAGUAUGGUAGAGGGUGGUGGAAUUUCCUGUGUAGCGGUGAAAUGCGUAGAUAUAGGAAGGAACACCAGUGGCGAA
rnacentral:rRNA from 1 species